rnacentral:rRNA from 1 species
AGAGCUAAUACAUGCUAAAAAUCCCGACUUCGGAAGGGAUGUAUUUAUUAGAUAAAAAACCAAUGCCCUUCUGGGCUCCUUGGUGAUUCAUAAUAACUAAACGAAUCGCAUGGCCUUGCGCCGGCGAUGGUUCAUUCAAAUUUCUGCCCUAUCAACUUUCGAUGGUAGGAUAGUGGCCUACCAUGGUCUCAACGGGUAACGGGGAAUUAGGGUUCGAUUCCGGAGAGGGAGCCUGAGAAACGGCUACCACAUCCAAGGAAGGCAGCAGGCGCGCAAAUUACCCAAUCCCAAUUCGGGGAGGUAGUGACAAUAAAUACUGAUACAGGGCUCUUUUGGGUCUUGUAAUUGGAAUGAGUACAAUCUAAAUCCCUUAACGAGGAACAAUUGGAGGGCAAGUCUGGUGCCAGCAGCCGCGGUAAUUCCAGCUCCAAUAGCGUAUAUUAAAGUUGUUGCCGUUAAAAAGCUCGUAGUUGAACCUUGGGUCUGGCCGAUCUGUCCUCCUAAUCGAGCGCACGGAUGCGGUCGGACCUUUCCUUCUGGGGAGCCCGAUGUCCUUCACUGGGCGUCGUGGGGAACCAGGACUUUUACCUUGAAAAAAUUAGAGUGUUCAAAGCAGGCCUUUGCUCGAAUACAUUAGCAUGGAAUAAUAGAAUAGGACAGAGGUUCUAUUUUGUUGGUUUCUAGGACCGCUGUAAUGAUUAAUAGGGAUAGUCGGGGGCGUCCGUAUUCAAUUGUCAGAGGUGAAAUUCUUGGAUUUAUUGAAGACGAACUACUGCGAAAGCAUUCGCCAAGGAUGUUUUCAUUAAUCAGUGAACGAAAGUUAGGGGAUCGAAGACGAUCAGAUACCGUCGUAGUCUAACCAUAAACUAUGCCGACUAGGAUCGGANNNNNNNNNNNNNNNNNNNNNNNNNNNNNNNNNNNNNNNNNNNNNNNNNNGCUACCACGGUGAAACGCUUGGCGCACUGGGCGUGACGGAUGUGGCGAUUUUCCGCGAUGCGUAUGACCCGCUGAUCCUGCAAUCGCACCGUGUGCCGUCACCUGACGCACGUUUGGUCGGUCCGGGCGAAACCGCCGCCGACGUGGCGGAGCGCGCGCUGGCCGCGUUGCGCGAUUGCCUGAGCGCCAACGCUGGCACGAUCGCCGCCGUCAUCAUUGAGCCGCUGGUGCAGUGCGCCGCCGGCAUGGCCAUGCACGACGUGAGCUACCUGCGCGGCGUGCGUGCGCUGUGCGACGCGUUUGGCGUGCACUGGAUUGCGGACGAGAUUGCCGUCGGCUGCGGCCGCACCGGCACCUUCUUCGCGUGCGAGCAGGCUGGCGUGUGGCCCGAUCUGCUGUGCCUGUCCAAGGGCAUCAGUGGGGGGUAUCUGCCGCUGUCGAUCGUGCUGUCGCGCGAUGCCAUCUACAACGCGUUCAACGACGAUGCGCCGGUGCGCAGCCUCCC